rnacentral:rRNA from 1 species
GGUGGGGCUACACACGUCAUACAAUGGCUGGUACAGAGGGUUGCCAACCCGCGAGGGGGAGCUAAUCCCAUAAAGCCAGUCGUAGUCCGGAUCGCAGUCUGCAACUCGACUGCGUGAAGUCGGAAUCGCUAGUAAUCGCGGAUCAGAAUGUCGCGGUGAAUACGUUCCCGGGUCUUGUACACACCGCCCGUCACACCAUGGGAGCGGGUCUGCCAGAAGUAGGUAGCCUAACCGUAAGGAGGCGCUUACCACGGC